UACGGGGGGGGGCACGCGUUGUUCGGACUUACUGGGCGUAAAGGGCUCGUAGGCGGCCAACUAAGUCAGACGUGAAAUCCCCAGGCUCAACCUGGGAACUGCGUCUGAUACUGGAUGGCUUGAAUUCGGGAGAGGGAUGCAGAAUUCCAGGUGUAGCGGUGAAAUGCGUAGAUAUCUGGAGGAAUACCGGUGGCGAAGGCGGCAUCCUGGACCGACAUUGACGCUGAGGAGCGAAAGCUAGGGGAGCAAACGGG
rnacentral:rRNA from 1 species